CAGGCACAAGUUUCCCAGCAGGGAAGCCAAGAGUAUUUUGGAAACAACGCGGGACACAGAAGAAGAGGAGCCAAUGCUGUCUUAUUCAUAGGGAGUAGCCCCUUUGUUUUGGAAUCCAUUUCUGCUAGUCCUUAAAAUCCCUCUCUGGUUAAAAAUGGCUUUUCCAAGUGAGUACGUCUCAACACAGACUUAGAAUAUUGAAGUUCUACUUAUAAACAGCAAACUCUUCAACACAGAGAGAAAACACAGAGAGUGUCUCGGAUACACCAGGUUAUCCCGGCCAAACCAGCAGGAGUGUUUGCUGAAUGAGCUCAGUUCCUCGUCCUGGUAUCCCAGAGGGUUUUAUGACAUGGACUUUUGUAAUAUGUGACAUGUUGCGAAGACUAGCAGUUGAACCCCAGAAGGAAUCUGACCACUGCUCACUGCAGCACCUCCAAAAGGGCUAAGGAUUUGAUUAGGGAAUAAAGAACACGCUCUGCAUUCUCUCUAGGAUGUGGUUUGAUGCAUCAAUAAUCUGGAUGAUUACUCAAAAGCGUCACCGUAAUCAACCCAUGCUUUUUCUCACCCACUUCACUCAUUGCCAAACUGGUCAAAAUCUUUCAUCUGUUGAGUGAUUUGCAAUUUUGCUGUAAGAGUAAUCACUUUUGUUUACCCUGAUGGUAAUACUGAAACUGACCCAAUUGCCCCAUAGAAUGUUCUUUUUCAUAAACACAGAAAUUGAUCCUUCUGAUCUUAAAAAGCUUGAAACUUCUAUUUGUUUUAUCUGAAUUCCUUCCUCAGGAAACCACCUUCAGGACUCUCACACAAAGUAUUAAAGAACUGAAACCAGAUCACGGCACUGGAUGCUGGACUCCUGAUUCACUGUGAUGUCUUCCUUGCCCCUCCCAAGUUCCUGUUUUAUUACACAUUGUUACAUUUCUGGCCUGCAAUAUAAACCCCUGAUUUUUGUCAGUCAGGGAGAUGGAUGUGGGACUAAGGUUCCAUCUCCUUGGCUGUGGAACCCAAUUAAAAUCUUCUUCCUUGGCAAUACUUGGAGUCUCUGUCACUGACUUUCUGAGCAGUGAGGGGCAGGACCUAGACAGGACCCCUGGUGUUUUGGUAGCAAUGCUACUAAAAAAGACAAGAUUGUUUUCUGUUUGCUUUCUGUAAAAACAACAAAAGCAGAGAUAUAUAGAUGUAUGUCCAUACAAACAUCAUUUCCUGUCGAAAAGUAAAUUUAGACUUCUCAUAGACCAGUUGAAUGAUGACAGUCAUUUAAAAUAUGGCCUAUCAUAUAAUCAUUCAUGGAAAAACAUUAUUAAC